rnacentral:rRNA from 1 species
CUACGGGUGGCUCCAGUGAGGAAUAUUGCACAAUGGGGGGAACCCUGAUGCAGCAACGCCGCGUGGAGGAUGACGCAUUUCGGUGUGUAAACUCCUUUUAUAUGUCAAGAAAAUGACGGUAGCAUAUGAAUAAGCACCGGCUAACUCCGUGCCAGCAGCCGCGGUAAUACGGAGGGGGCAAGCGUUACUCGGAAGCACUGGGCGUAAAGGACGCGUAGGCGGGUUGGAAAGUCAGGUGUGAAAUCCUACAGCUUAACUGUAGAACUGCACUUGAAACUUCUAAUCUAGAGUAUGGGAGGGGGAGAUGGAAUUAGUGGUGUAGGGGUAAAAUCCGUAGAUAUCACUAGGAAUACCUAAAGCGAAGGCGAUCUCCUGGAACAUUACUGACGCUAAGGCGUGAAAGCGUGGGGAGCAAACAGGAUUAGAUACCCUUGUAGUC